rnacentral:lncRNA from 1 species
AAAAAGGUUGAAGGGGGGAGAAUUAAGCCGAGCUGCGCCUUUAGCGUUGAGCAAAGCUGCGGAGGCAAGCAUCUGGGUUCCAAAAUGACGACUUUGCCGUUUUCUUCUCGAAUCAAAUUGGGCUACCACCUGCAGAGCCCAAAGUCCAAACUCAUCACCAUAAAUGACCUGUAGUCGUCCUUCUUCGGUGGAACCAGUCAUUUCUAACGAUAAAUCCACGAGAUUCUAGUCGCGAUCUCGUUGGGAUUCUUCAAGAUUCAACUUGAAUCUCUGAGUUUUUGGACCUCACUGACGUCGAGAUCAUUCUCCGUCACUGUGCAGUGGGUUCUUUUACUAACCUACGAUUUUUUUUACCUCCGUCUAGUUUGAAUCGUCACCAACCUGUCCCGAGCCUAAUACAUUUGCAGUAAAGCUACAGGGUUAUUCUAUACGGCAGCCAGCAAAUACUUCCCAAAUAUUUUGGUGUGUCAUCGACUAAAGCUUAAUUAGACUAUAUUUUCUUAAUCGAUUGACCUAAAGCCAUCUAAAGUGAAAAUGACACUACAAGAAAACAUGGCUUUUGUGACGACCAACAUUCAUCACAUAAAUAUGAAAAAUCGUCACAUUAGACUAUAUGUGACAAAAUUUCAACAUCACAAUUAGCAUCACCUAUACAACAUCACCGAUAGUUUAAGUGAAGACUAUUGGAGUUGCCACAUAUUUUCCUUUUACGUGACACUUCUUCCGCCACUUAUUAUUCUAGGGGUGUGAUAUCUACACACCCCAAUUUACUUCUCACACUCCUUUUUAAUUUUCGGCCAUCAGAUCGGAUGAAUUGAAAAAGAUCAACAAACAGAAAUUAUCAAGGAGUGUGUGAGAAGUAAAAUGAUGUGUGUGGAUAGCACACUCAUAAUUCUAAUAUGUGACGAAAUUAGCGUCACAAAAUACAAAAUUUAGUGACCUAUGUUUUUUGUCUCAUAUCAGACUUAUAAGUGAUACUUUUUGGGUCACUCAAUAUGAUCCCAGAAUUAUAUAAUUACACUAAGUAACACUGAAAUUGUCACAUAUUCUUUUGAUCGAUGAAACGGCUUAUGUCACAUACGUUAUAAUCAAAUAACUAUUUAGGAAUAAUAUUUAAGGACUUCAUUACUUAUUCGUGUUUUGUAAUCUAGGAUAGCAACUCAUAAUAGUUAUAAGAUAAUACUUCCCAUUUUCAUUAAUCAACAAUAAAACCACAUAAGUUCGAAUAUGUUCAACAACUAUACAUCCAACAAAAUAACAUAAACAUCCCAAAAUCAAUCUAAUCCAUGGUGACCUAUCUUAAUAAUAGCAAUUUGUGAAGAAGGGUACCAAGGCCUAUACAUGGAUUGUUUAAAGUACUAAUUAACAAAAGAAAAGUCUAAGACACAUUGAGGUGCUAACAAAAAGGUCUACCAUGUGCAAACUUAACUAAUAACAAAAGACAUAACUAUCGAAAUCAUUCUUCUUCCGAGUCAUGUUCUUCCAGUUCAGGAUAAACAUUUUCACUAGAUGAGUUAUUACCAUCAGAUUCCUUGGAGUUGUGUUAUUCUGCCCCUGACUUGCAGCCAAAAAAGCCUUAAUUUUUAAUGUCAAUGUUUCAUCAUCAUUUUGUAAAUCCAACUGAGCUCUCAAUUGUUCAUUUUCUUGUUGCAAUUUGGGGAAACCAUCUGAUAGAAUCUUGAUCUGAUCUCUCAUAUCAAUUAACUAAGAACUUGAAGCCAUAGAAGAAACACAAUAAAGGUAUCCGUACGAGGGAAAAGACCUACACCAUUAACAGAUUGUCCCUUCCUUCCAAGGUUUUCAACCUUGAUUCCAAAUUCAUCUUCCAAUGGUACUUGUAUGGAAACGAAUAUAGUACCCUCAGGCGCUUCUUGGAUUAGCUUCUCCCUAACUUCAUCCUUCUUUUUCUUCAUGUUAUCCUUUCAUAUUAAAAUACAAACAAAUAAGUUUCUUUUGUUUCAAACAAAUCAACCACAAUAUGCUUAAAAAAAUACCACUUAAAUACUUGGAUGUGAUCCUGAACUGAUGUAGAAGCAAACCAUUGUGUAAAAACUAUCUUUACAUAUGAUUUUGUAGUUUAUGAUUCAAAGUGUUUUAAAUAGGAUUAGGCAACAUGCAACAUAUAACCUUUAAAGUAGUUUUUGUUUGAAUGUAUGUUAGGUAUAACCUUCCAGCUUCUAGCUAGUUAUAUUAAGAUUGGCUAGUUAUAUUAAGUUUUUUUUUUCAAUUCAAUCUUGCAUGUUCACUUUAUUUGUGUUUCCUAAGUUGUAUCAUGUCAAAUUUGAUUUUUUUUUUAAUUUCCAUCUCCUUUUAAAUGACACAAAUGAUAAGUCCGUGAAUGACUUACACAUUUUUCCUGGGCAACAUCAUUUAUCCACUGACCGUUCUUGUCUUUAUGAAGAGCCCCCCAAUUGUCAAUCACAAAUAAUGGAUUUCCUUUCUGCUAAAUCAUGCAGAAACAUACAUUAGAAUAUGUAAAGUCGAUAAUGAGUAUAAUAAGUAAUUUAAUUUCAUUACCAUCUGGGCCUUCCUAGCAUGUUGGAUAAAUGGCCUUGCCCCCCCCCCCUUUGUGGUGAUAUUUCUAUUUCUUCCUAUUAUCAACAUUUUGCUUUGAAAGCUCAUGCAUUACACAUUUGGUACAUGACAUACAAAAGAAGAUUUAGUUAGUUAUACAUGUGUACAAUUUGGAAAGUUUCAAGCUCUCGAACUUGUCAUAUAUAACUUCAUGUAUUUCAGUUGUACAUAGUCAUUCACCUUACAAGGGCUAUCUCAUCUAACCUUCUAUAUUAUCUUGGUCAACAAUGUUAGAAAUAGCACAAGCUAAGGAGAGAGAAACAUAUAAGUACCAAGCUUAAGGAAAUUGAAUGGAAGAUACUCUUUCUUCUACCAAGGGCAUUAGGCUAACACAGUUAGUCAAAUGAGUAUAUGAUAACCAUUUUCAGACUUUAAAUUUUAACUCCAAAUUACCUAAGUGUCAAGAAGAAACAAUCAACAAACUUCAUAUUUUAACUCAAAUUUACCUAAGUGUAAAGAAGUAACAAUCAAUUUAACCACAAGGUGAAAUUCAUUAAUGCAUGUUAGGAUAUAUUUUUUUUCAAAUAUGGCUAUCGAAACAGAGGCUAUAUUAACAUUGCCAUAUUCCUAAUUCUAACCUAAUUAAAUAGGUGUUUGAGCAGAUUUGACAAUUACAAGUAAAAAAGUGUGUGGCUAUAUAGCCAAGUAAGCUAAGAUACAUAAAUCCUACCCUAACACAAUAUAAAUUUUCUAGACAAAGAACAUGAGAUCUUAAUCACACUCAAAGAAACAAAAUUUAUUUAAAACAAACAGUUGAAACACUAAUCGGUGGCCAGCAAAAUGGCAUUAAGCAGAUGAGUUCCAUAAGAACAAAUUAGAUGAAUAAAGCAACCAACUACAAGACAGGGAAAAUCUCAAUAAAUAAAGGGAAAAUAUGAAACAAAAAGUAACAAAGCCAAGAUGCAUAAAUUUUAGCCAAAAAUACUGAAUUUAAAGAAUGAACACAAAAAAUGUCUAUGCAUUUCACUUUGUAAGGAUUAACCAACUAAAAUGAAAAUGAAGAAGCAUAUAAGGUAAGUGCUAGAAUGCAAGAGUUAUAACUAGAAACACUGUGUUUGAAGAACACGACAAGUCACAAUUUCACAUUGGAAAAUUAAGCAAAUGACAACCAAUGAAAACGAAGCAUAAAAGGUUAGAGGUUCUGACUAUAAAAUUGAAUUUGUAGAACACGACAAGAAGUCUUCAUGUUGAAAGAAUUGGUUUCUAACUUGGAUUUAUACUAGAAAAGAUUGUAUAGAAUACAUACCAAAAAGAGUAGUAGUGUAAACAUUAUCAUAUAACCAAUCCCAAUGACUCUUUGGUCUCCCAUUCCAUAUCAUAUCAUUUGGAAGCUUAGCUCAUCAUCUCGCAGGUGUUCCACAUGACAAGUAGUGCAAAUGCAGCUGGUGCCUAACUGAGAGUACAACUUUACCAUCUUCUUGUCAACAUAUUCAAUAAUCUUCAGAUGGGAUAAGUCCACAACAAAUAAUACCUAUUGUUAAACAUAAAAUAUGCAAGUGAGUGCUUGAAAUUACAAUGAAUAAAUUGAAUUAAAUUCAAAACUGACAAGCAACUUCUCUCGCGAUUUCUUCUUUUCUGAAGCUGGGACCUUAAACCAUCUCUCAUAGCAAACCGGUGAAUAAGUCCGAACAAUAUUCCCUAUCUCGGAUGUGAAAAAACCUGACACAACUGGAUCACUUGGAACUUGAUGUUUAAAAUCAAAGAUGAUUGGCAUCUUCAGCCCGUUAUUGGCCUCCAAAAUAUCAUGGACGUCUUUCCCACAUGACUUUCCACGAGUCAUCUUUUUUACAAAAAAAAGUCAAAAUCUGUCUCUAGAAAAAUAUAGGUAUCUCUAAUCAAUGUAAUGUGUUGUUUAAAGCUACAUUAUAAAGGAAAAAGUAAAUAAUUAUAACUACCUUCCUUACCUAGGUUAGUGUUUGUUGGCGAAGGUGCAAGUGGUGAUGAGGAAGUAUUGGCGGAGGAGUUGGCGGAUGAGGUGCAAGUGCAUCAUUUGGAGGAGGAGGUAAGGGAUUCCUCACCCUUUUCACCCUCUUUCCUCGCGAAGGUGUAGGUGGUGGUGGUGGAGAAGGUGGCGGAUGAGGUGGUCGUGGCAGUGCAAAUGCAUCAUUUGGAGAGGAGGUAAGGGAUCUCUCACCCUCUUCACCCUAUUUCCUUGUUGUGUAGAAGUUUCCAUCUAAAUAUGAAACAUAAAAGUAAAUAACACAACCAAAAUGUUAAUAUAUACAAAUAUAAACCAUUAUAAGCAUAGUGACUACUUAUAAAAUGACAAGCAAAUAUAUUUACUAUUGUAGGAUAAUAAACAUUAAUUUAUAAUGCGUAGAUAUCACUAUAGUCAUCUAUUGUAAUCAUCAUUAGUAUCAUUGGUUCCAACAUUCUCCUCCUCAUCAUCCUCUUCCUCCUCCUCUUCCACGUUCUUUUCUUCCUCCUCCUCCUCAUCCCUCUGUAGGCCUAGCAUUUUUCGAACCUCCUCAUUGUUAAUAUCAAAAGAUUCAGGAUCAACAUCAUCUCUACAUAAUGAUUUAUCAACUUCAUCGUCAUUAUGGACCGGCCUUGUAGAAUUUUCAGUUUCAUCUACAUACUCAUCAUCGUCUUCGUUAGUGGCAUUGUCCUCCUCCUCAUCAUCAUCAUCUUUCUCAAGAACAUCCCAAAUGUGUCUAUGUUGUAUCUUUUGCACAACUUUCCAUGGAUGACCCAAUUUUAGCUAACACAUUCAGAUCACCAUCUUACCAACGAUUAUUUACAUUCAAUGAUGUAAGAUGAUAAUCCCAUAUAACUUUUUUACCUCUUGUAUCUGUAUUGUACCAAUGACAAUUGAAAAAAAAAAAUCACCUUAAAACCUCUAGUAAAUUCUAAUUUAAUGAAAUUAAUUAAGAUGCCAUAAAAGUUACAUGUUUCACCAUUGUGCGACCCCGGCGUCAUAACCCCACUGUUCUGUGUUGUACGGUUUUGAUCAACAUGUCUGACCGAAUAUCAAAUCUCGUUCACAAUACAACCUAUGUAUUGGACAAUAUGUUGAUAUGAACCUUGGGCUAAUGAAAAAAUCUAUUCACUAACCAAUCUAGGCUCUUGAUAAUACAAUGACGUGACCCGCUGCCUAAACCAUUCCAGAAACAACUGUUUAUACCUUUGUUGUGCAUUAGCAUGACUAUCUCUUUCCAAAAUCUCGAUAUGCUCACUGCAUAAAUAAAUAAAAUAUAAGUGAAAGUUGUGGAAUUAUAAUUAUUUAAAUAAAUGUUCAACUAUUUCACAUACUUUCUGAAGUCUUCUAUUUUGUCACAAUUAUCUAAGAUACACCAAUAAGCCACUUGUGUAUCUUCCCUUGAAAGUUGAACCAUUACAUGAGCACCAAAUAGACGUGUUUUUAAGCAAACAUUGAAAUGAGCGCAUUGGGAUUACUACCAUAAUCGUUUCUUUCUGGUCUGAUGCGUAAAAUAACUAAACACACAAAUUAAACCCUCUUGUUGACAAUUGUAGUAUAUGUAUAAGUAGGGAUCGUUCUAGACCAGGGAUUAGGAGGGAUUGCUAAUCUACUCUAAACUGACUUAGAAACACAAAAAUAAACUUUAAGACACUAAACUAGACUCAAAAGACUCAAAACAAACUCAAAAGACUCAAAACAAGCUAAAAACACUCAAAACUGCCUAAAAACACAAACUGGGCAGUUUUUGAACUCUAACACUAAUUUGGACAAAAUUGAGUUAUAACUUGAACCAAAACACUUAAAAACACAAACUAAAGUACUUUCUAACUAAUAAGACUCAAUAAAGUCAAGGGGGUUUUGAUUUUGGACGAAAUUAAACUUGCAAAACAGAUUGUAAAUUGAAAACAUAUUCUAGACGAAUUUGGAUCAAACUAUGGAUGAUGGGCUAGCUAGAGGGUUCUCCUCCACACAUGACACACUUGCAUACAAACCAAUUUUCAGUUGUUCGUUCAAUAAAUCAUGAAACUCAACACCCCAGGUUAAUUAGGUCCGCUUAAAUUAACCUUCAAGUUCUCCUUAAGUUAUUGAAUUGGAUGGGAAAGCACAUACAACAAUUCAAAGCAUUCUCUAAAAGUCCCCUACGUGAAAAGCACUAUAAAGGUACAAUCAAAGAUCAUUAAGUUUCAUGAAAACUAUAAGCAUUGACAAGGCAAUUGUAACUAUGAAAAGCAUGAAACUUUUGCCAAGAAUUCACUUAACACGAUCGUUUAUAAGCGACCUCCACUACUUGCAAAUAUAAGUUUGUAACUAUUAGGUGAAACUCCCUUAUAUUUUAGCUUCAAAUCCUUGCAUGAAAGCUAAGUGUACACUCUUAAUAAACAUACAAGAAUAAGUUAUCAAUCAAACGGUUAAGCAAAUUGAAUUCACAACUUAUGAAAUAACAACUGAAGGUAAUCAAUUCAUAAUGCAAGUAUAAUCAUGGUAUUGAAUAGCCCCCUAGCCAAGAGGGGCUUAGUUCCUCAUGUUCGCAAAACAAAGAUACAUAAACUUAAACAUUGAAAACAAAAGAAAGAUUACACCUAGAAACGCUCCAACAAUCCAACGUCUUGAAUGGCAAGCACGUCCAAGGGUCUCCUUCUUUCUUCUUUGCUGCGACACAAGGGUGUUUGGUGAUGAUUUGUGGUGAAUUGUGGUGGGAUGGAUGUAGGUAGGUUAUGGUGAAGGAUGGAAUGGCUGAUUAGAAGAGUCCCCAGAACUUGCGACAAAGGGUAGUAUAUAUAGGCUAAGGUAAGGUUUUGAUGUGUUUUAGGGAAAGAAAUAACUUAUCUAUUGAAGGAAGAUUUUGUAAAAACAUGUUCAUUUGAGCAACAUCUAUAGCAUGCAAUUAACAAUUAAAAGGCGGAAUCAUGCUUGCAUGCACUCAAAAACAAAACAUUACCCAUGAAAUUCAAGGCCUAGUAGAUUGGUGAACCAAGACUCAACUCAAAUCAAAGUGAGUUGAGAAAUUUAUACCUUUGUAGAUUCCUCUUUGCAUAAGCAAAGGCUAAUCACCCAAAGAGAGGGCCUUCAUUCCUUGCUUCUUAGAUCCAUGGAUUUGGAUGGAAGAAUAGAUUCUCCAAGUUCCCAAAAUUGAGAACCUCUAAGUUUCCACACCAAGGAUGGAUUGAUGAAGAAAUUAGUGACCUAGAGGAAGCAAGAUUGCUAGUUAAUUUCCUCUAGGGUGGCCGGCCUCUUUAGAGAGAAAAGAGAGCUUUGUGUUCUCAUCUUUUCUCCAAAAGAAACCCUAAAUGAAUUUUGGCUAUAAAGUCACAUUUAUACCUUAAUUCAUUGGAGUGGCAAACUUGUAAAUAAGUCCAAAACCCACUCCAUCUCUAAAUGGCCGGCCAUUGGGUUUCAUUGGGCUUUUAGGGCCUUUGUGAAUUAUUAGUCAUUAAGUUGUCAUACAACUUAAGUCAAUGGGCUUGACGUUCGAAGCCCAUUGGGCCUUGAGGCCCAAAACUAACCCGUGGUCUUUUAACGAACUUAUUCGUUUGAUUAAUUAACAUAUUAAUUAAUCCUUGCCAUAAAUAAUUAAACCAUUUAAUUAUUCUUACUCAUCUCCGUUGUUUCUUCAAUCUUUACCUUACACGGUGUACGAUCCAUUAGGUUCCUUUUAGCGAGGCAGUGGGCGAUUAGAACUCUUUCAAACCGAUUGUGAAUUGAAACUUACUUUCAAUUCUCCCUUUAGUGAUUAUACACGUUUAGGGCUUCCACAAACCAUGAGUGACACCUAGCAGCAUAUCAUGGUUACCCAAGCUAAUCAGAAGAGGUGGAGAACCUAUUAAGUUUAGGAUUACAAAUGCAAUACGGUCUUUCUCUAAUACAAUACUCUUGACCACAUUGUUUGGUUUGAUAGUUUAUUCAUGUCUACUAUCCAAUGUGAUUCGUUUACUUAUAUGAUUACCUUGAAUGUGAUUUGGAACGCCUUCCUAAAUCUCAUUCAUACUCUGAUCAGAGAUUUUCAAUCAUAUCAUAGAGUAUUCUCCCCCAAACGGUUUGAAGGUUAGAGAUCCCUUGUUGCGCAUUCAAUUGCCUCCAUGGCUAAGUGGCUUAACCCCAACGAUGUCGUGGACACCCGCGGAUGGGGUGACUUUGACAUAAUCAAAGAUCAAGGACUUAACCACAAGACAACUGUGAUGCCUCGGGUCAAAGGACUACUUUGCAUUAUCCCAACCAUGAGUUCUCAUGUGACAUGAAUAUGAGAACUCUUCGUUGAUCGUGUUCAGUGAACUCAUUCUCUAUUGAGCACCUACGUACUUGUCUUGAUGUCACACACACCAAUGACUCGAGACUAGUCAUUCUUCCUGGGAGAAGACACAGCACAUACUGAUCUUAACGGACUGUCAAUGCCCAAUUGGCAAUCCUAUGAUCAGGAACGUUUAGGAUGUGUCUACGAAAGAAUGGUCUCAUGAAUCUAACUUCUUUAGAUUGCAUUCUCCCAAUCACAUAUUCCUUGGACUUAUCGUUUAAGCAUAUAACAUUUAUAUGAGACGGCUCGAACAAUAAUCUUUGCCCUUUAUAUUUAAACUACAUUAGUUUAACUUUGUGAAAUGUCCGUAAAGUAUCAUCAUAUGAUUGGUUUUAGGGCACAUUUCCAACAGCUAUCUUGUCCAAUAAUUAAAAGUCAGAAAUCAAUGGAAAAUAGGCAAGAAAGGUGCAGGAAUUAAAGAGAAUAGAAAAGGGAAAUUCGGCAGAAAUUGUAGGCAGAUUUUAGGAAUGUGUUUUAGGUCAGAAAAUAGGCAAGAAAGGAUAUAAGGUGCGGCAUAGGUUAAGGGAGAAAGGGAAAGGAGAUUUGGGACACAAAAUAGGGAAGAAAACAAUCCCCUUGCACGGCAAAGCAUUGGACAAAAAUAGGAAUGUGUUUAAUUGCAGGAACUAGGAAAACAGAAAGGGAAACAAGGAAGGUAAAGUAGGAAAAUAUGAAGGUGGGUGCGGCAAAGAUUAGGGAUAGGUCUAGGUCUUCUAGAAGCAUUUAUUUAGUGUCCUAAAAUAUUUAGGAAGCCUCCUUGCAGCUGGAACAUAGGUGAAUUAGGAUUAGGAAAGUUUAGAGCCAAAGAUGGAAACCUCCAAGAAUAGAAACUUCCAACUUUAGAAACUUUGGCUUCCAAUUCUGAACUCUUUGUUCUUCAUUUGUCUUGAAUCCAAUUCUUCACAUCAUCAUUCAAUCCUAUGCUCAUUUGAUCUUCAAUUUCAUCCAUCUUCUUACCUCCAAGCAGCAAUCCAUUUGAUGCCCAAAACUGCUCUAAAAGGCUCCAAAAUGCACAUGUUUGCAUACUUUGGCCUUAGAAUCUGAAAACACACAAAAGUGACUUUAAACACUAAAAUAACUAAAGAAACACAACGUAAAAGCACGAGAACAAGCCAAUUAAGUCGCAUAAAUAUGCUCCUAUCAUGGUCGGGUGAAUUUCGUCUCAACGUCACAAUAGAGCCUUCAGGACGAGCUUUGUUAUGAACAGAUUUCUUGUAAAAACCCAACAACCUAGAUAAAUGAACAAUUGUUAGUAUGUAGAAAUAAAAAAAAAAUAUGCAACUAACAGAAACAUCAUGGCCAUUUACCUUUCUACAGGAUACAUCCAUCGAUAUCCAACUGGUCCUGCCAAUUUUGCUUCGCAUGGUAAGUGACUGCUAAGUGAACCAUGGGAACGAAGAAUGCAGACAGGAAAUUUUUUUCUAGUUUGCACAAUAUGAGGACAAUGUCUUCUUCCAACUUGUCAAGAUCAGUAACAGUUAGAGUCUUUGCACAUAUUUGUUGAAAAAAAAACUAGAAAACUCAACAAUUGGACCAUAUAUAUGCUUUUUCAAAUAUUUUUGAAGCACACGUUGCAUCAACGCAUGACAAUCAUGUCUCUUUAAACCAAAUAUACUUCAUUCAUCCACAUUCACUUUAUAUGAUAUAUUUGCUGCAUAACCAUCUGGAAAUUUAAUUGAUUUCAACCAAUGCAAGAAAAUUUUACGUUCAUAUGGCUUAAAUACAUACUAAGCCAAAGGCUUUCCCAAUGUGUUACGUGCAUUUAGUUUCAAAUGCAAACUCUCUCUAAUAUUCAUGUCUUGUAAAUCUAUAUGUGCCUUAAGGGUAUCCUUCGACUUCCCCGUAUUCUGCAAUGUCCCAGUCAAACAGUCAAAUAUAUUCUUCUCAAUAUAUAUAACAUCAAGAUUAUGCCAAAAAUCUUCAAUUUGGACUAGUAUUCCAACUCGAAAAAAAUACUCUUCCUUGUCCAAUUUAAUUCUUCGGCAUUCCGCUUUCUCUUCUUAUCUUUAUUAGUACAAUGCUUACCAAGUGUAUGAGGUAAAAGGGAAUCAAGUUGAUCAAGUAUGUCAUCACCUAAGAAUUCUCUGGAACGAUGUCUCAUCUCUCGACGACCAUGAAGGAGUUAAGUAUUUUUGCGCCAUGAGUGUUUCAUAGGUAAGUAACGACGGUGCCCAAUAUGACAAUACUUGUCUCUCAACUUAGUGUAAGAUCCAUCCUCAUUGCACAUUGGACAUGCCAACUUGCCAUGAAUGCUCCAACCUGAUAAAUUUUCAUAAGUCGAGAAGUCGUUAAUAGUCCACAUAACAGCUGCACGCAAAUUAAAUGUACUCCCAGUUAUCAUAGGUUAAAACACCAUUUUCCCACAGUUCCUUAAGCUCAUCAACCAAUGGACGCAAAUAAAUGUUAAUCUCAUUUCCAGGUGCUUUUGGUCCAGGAAUUAAUAAGGUCAAAAAAGAAAAAGGUUUUUUCAUGCAUUUCCAUGGGGGAAAAUUAUAUGGAAAUACAAUAACUGGCCACAUACUAUAUGGCUUACUUAUAUCUGAAUAAGGAGUAAACCCGUCACUCAUAAGGCCCAAUCAGACAUUUCGUGGAUCUCAAGCAAAAUUAGGGUACAUUUGGUCAAAUUCUUUCCAAGCACUCGAGUCUGCUGGAUGCCUCAUUGUGUUCCCAUCAUUGAUUCUUUUCUCCUUGUGCCGCCUUAUGUCUUUGCUCGUAUGUCGAUAUGAAUAACCUCUGUAGCCUUGACUUAAGUGGGAAGAAUCGCAACACUUUUCUUGGAACUUUCUUCCUCUGCUCAUAAUGACUAUCCGUAUACCUUGGCUCAUUAUAGACUAGACAUCUAUCUUCGUUUUCAUGUUGUUUAUAAAAUAGUGCACAAUCAUAGUAGCAAUCAUAUAUAUUUUCACACCCCAAUCCAAGACUUUUCAAUAUUUUCUUGCACUCAUGAAAUGAGUUAGGAACAUUGAUAGGUUAGGGACACAUCUUCUUCAUCAUUGCUAACAUCUUAUCAAUUGCCUUGUUUGUCAUGUGGUUGUCAACUUUGGUGUGAAUCAACUCUAAGACGUAUGUCAAAACUAUAUAUUGCUUACAUUCAAGGUAUAGUUCCUUUUGAGCUUCACCAAGCAAUAUCUCAUAAGUAUCAACGUGUAUGUAUAUUUUAUAAAAUAGUGCACAAUCAUAGUAGCAAUCAUGUAUAUUUUCACACCCCAAUCCAAGACUUUUCAAUAUCUUCUUGCACUCACGAAAUGAGUCAAGAACAUUGAUAGGUUAGGGACACAUCUUCUUCAUCAUUGCUAACAUCUUAUCAAUUGCCUUGUUUGUCAUGUGGUUGUCAACUUUGGUGUGAAUCAACUCCAAGACGUAUGUCAAAACUGUAUAAUGCUUACAUUCAAGGUAUAGUUCCUUUUGAGCUUCACCAAGCAACAUCUAUGUAUAUUUUAUAAAAUAGUGCACAAUCAUAGUAGCAAUCAUGUAUAUUUUCACACCCCAAUCCAAGACUUUUCAAUAUCUUCUUGCACUCACGAAAUGAGUCAGGAACAUUGAUAGGUUAGGGACACAUCUUCUUCAUCAUUGCUAACAUCUUAUCAAUUGCCUUGUUUGUCAUGUGGUUGUCAACUUUGGUGUGAAUCAACUCCAAGACGUAUGUCAAAACUGUAUAUUGCUUACAUUCAAGGUAUAGUUCCUUUUGAGCUUCACCAAGCAACAUCUCAUAAGUAUCAACAUCUAUUCACACAUUGGUCAUAUCACCAUCCCAUAUUUUUUUCAUGUAAACUGUGUCUUCGUACCCGAAUGCUCUAACUUUGAUGCUUAUGUAUGUUUUAUUUCCCAUAGCACCAAUCACAAUCUUGAUCCCUCCAUUCGAUUUCACUAGUUUGGAUGUUUUUCACAUAAACUACUUAUAUAGGUACAAGAUGUGAAGCUCCACAUGACUAUCAAGAAGUUGAGAAACCAUUGAAGCCAACAAUGGUUGGAAGAGCUAAAUAAGCCUCCACAAUGAUUUUCAUUCGAAAACACAUGCCCGAAGCAUUACAAACGGAAGUAUACGUCACUAAAAAAGGAUUAUAUGGCUCCUUAGCUCGCUCUACGGACUAUUUAAUCAUGACGUUGCCUAAAGCAAACUGUGAUUAAAACCUUUAUGUCCAAGAAUGUGUACGAUUUUGAAGCUUAUAAAAUCCAAUCAAAUUUUGAUUGGAGAAGAUUUUUCUUGUCCUUCCAUGUCUCUAACUCGUUCCUAAAGCAACUUUGUAGAAAGCGAAAGUUUACGAAAUCCUCGAAUCUAAUUACUACCAUAAAUGUGAGAGAAAGGUACCCAAGUGAUUCGACUGGUAGGUAUUGAACAAUAUAGGCUCAGUUUGGCUAAAGUCUAUAGAAUGUCCUAACCCAUUUUUGGUUAGAGCCUACCGAACGGCAAUGCCCUACUUCAACAUGGAUGUAUGAACAGAUUCACAUAGUUCGGCUCAAAUCUUUCAAACCUAAGUUUGUCUCUCUCUCACCCAUUCUAUAGUUUGUUUUACAACAUAUGGUAGAAUCAAGGCCCGCCAAGGGGUGGCAUCAUGGCCAGAAGUGUGCUCCUUGGCACGUACGACCUAAAACUUCAAGAAUAUGGAAUAGUAUUCCCAAACCUCGACCCUGCAGAAUCUACUUAUGUUUUGAUCAAAGAAAUUAUUGGUUACGCACUAAUCUGUGCCUCUACCAAUGUCGUUAAGGAGUACCAUUCUCGUAAUCAAUCUGUGAGACUAAUUUUGCUCCACCUAAGACAUUUGGAAGAGAAGAAUUUUAACAGGGAUGGCCUAUUUGGCCGAAUCCCCUUUGUAAACAAUUUCCUAUGUUCCCGGAUUCAAGUUGGUAUUUGUUUUAUUUCUAGAUAAUCUUAUGGAUAUUGUCUUCGAAUAUGAGUUAAUUGAAUCAUGCUUCUAUACAUGUUACCAAAUUCAAUUAAACAUGUGAUUAGGUACGAACGUUGAAAACUUAGUUGUCUGGAUGAAUAUGUUGUUAUGCACACCAACUUUAUACCUAAAUUACCUUUCUAGAAAUGACUUCAGGUCUAUCCAACCCGAUUAAGAGCAUUGGCACGCUUUUUGUUGUAUGAAUGGUACAGAAUUACCAAUUUAAGAGACCUUAUAUUCUUUCCUUUCCAGAAGAACGUCAUUAAGUCUUAAGGAUAUUCAAGAUGACGAUGAUUAUGAUUGAAACCAUUAAAGGAAAUAAUAGGGCUAAUGAGCUGUCUCCCAACUGAGACAUGCCACAUGUGACAUGCCUGGAACUGGGUGAUUCAAGCAGUUUACUUAUUUUGGCAUGACCGUUUAGGACACUUAGGUCAAACAAUGAUGCCAUGUAUUAUACAACGCAUCUCCUUACCCAAAGUAAGGAUCUCCUAUAAACACACUUUGCCAAGCCUGCUCGUUGGAUAAAUUGGAUUUUUGUACCAUCCCUAACAAAGAUACGAAAAUGACCCUUUUUUCAUAGUGGAUUCAAAGGAAUAAUUGUGAACUAGUCCAACCAAAAUGUAGACCAUACAAAUACUUAUUGUUUUGGUUGAUGGUAUCAAAAAUAUGAUCAUAUGUUUGUCCAUACACAUAUUGCUCCUAAACCUCCUGGCCGAUUUUUACCCAAGGGUUCACCACCCUGAUUUUCCCAUGAAGUCUGGAAAAUUGGAUAAUGCCCGAGUGUUAUCAAAUGUUUUCGAUAAGUAUUGCAUGUCUUUUAGGUUUGUAAUUGACAAUCGAAUUCCCCAUGUUCACCACAAAGCAAGCUCGCAGAGCGAUCGUAAAGUGCAAUUAAAAUGAUCACCCGGACCUUGUUAAACGCACCAAGCUUUCAUUUUCAUCCUAGGGUUAUGUAAUCUUAUAUGCAACUAUGUUGGUCUACUUUGAGGCCCAUUUCCACCCAACCAUAUAUGUCGUUACAAUUAGUUACUAGGUAAGAGCCUAACACUUCGUGCUUAGGUAUUUGGGUGUGCAUUUUAUGUGCCAAGUUGUGCCACCAUAACGUACCAAUAUGGGCCCUUAAAGAAGGUUGUAAAUCUUUUGUCAAUUAUGAUUCUUCUUCGAACUAACUCUUUGGAGCCCUUGCAAGUGAUAUUUUCACAGCUUAUUUUGUGGAUUGUCACUUCAAUGAAACAAUCUUCUCACUAUUAAUGGGAGAUAAAAACGUCAACGUUCCUAAAGAACAACGCUAAUUUACGUGGAUGUUACCCACUAUAUCUCAUCUUGAUCCCUGUACAGCACAAGCAUGAUAAGCAAGUACGAUAUAUUCUAGCUUUUAGAAUGUUGCUCCAGACUCAUUCCUCUAGUCUAGCUAAAGUGACACAAUUAUAUACCAGCUGCAAUCAUGCCUGCAAGGAUAGACAUACCUAACAACGUCGAGUUAGCAUCCCUAAACGGUGCAUCGUCCCUGUUGGACUGUCAGUACAUCAGCAGAUAGCCAAUCAAUUUGUCUUAACCUGAAGCGCAACAUAUCACUCUAUUCAUAGGAUUCACUUCCUUAAAAGAGGAAGGUUGAGACACAAAAUGAUUCCAUAUUCAAUCGCCAUCAAUCAUUUUCAUCUCAUGAGAUUAAUCCGAAUUACUCUUGAAACUUGAAGUUCUUCGUCCAGUAUACUAGUUUAGAUGAGAUAUAGAAUUGGAAUGAGAUUAUCAUUGAUGAUGUUUUCACUUAUAUGGUAGCUACCAAUAUAAAUGAAAAUGAUGAUAUUGGACCGUCUUCUGUUGAUUAAUGACCACAAUCCAGGUUUAAUUCCUUACCAAAGUGUGUUUGGUCAUGUCAUUCCUGAAGGAAAUUAUUUGAAAAAACUAAGUUCAUUAAGCAAUACAAUGCAUGUAUUUAACAAUUAAAUGGCGGAAACAUGCUUGUAUGAGCUUUUAAACAAAACUUAAACCAUGAACUUCAAAGUUAGUAGUGGUGGUGAACCAAGACUCAACUCAAAACAAAAUGAGUUGAGAAACUUUUGUACCUUUGAAGCACCUCUUUCCUUAGCAAAGGAUAUUCACCCACGUGAGUGUCUUCUUUCUUUUUGAAGGAAAAAUUUUGUCCUAGCUAAGAACAAGUAUGAACAUUUGAAUACACAUGCAAGCUAUUAACACUUUAAAGUAGGCAUGCAUCCAAAAACAAUUCAUAAAACCCAUGACUUUCAAAGCCUAGUAUAUGGUGAACCAAAAUAAACUCUUUAACAACAUUAAAGAGAAGUAAAGAUUUAGUGAUUCUUUACCCUUGAAGCUCAUCCUUGUUUACACAAGGGAUUCACCCAAGUGGAGGGCCUUCAAGUCACCUCCAAGCUCCUUGAAUCCUCCUUGUGUUUUCCUCCCUUUAGUGCUCCUUUGAUGAUUAGAGGAAAAAGGAUUUGUUCUACAAAAACAUCAAAAGCUUGAUGUCUCUAAGUCUCUUCACCAAGGUUGUAUAUUGUGAAGAUGAAUUGGAUGACUUAGAGAGAUUUUAGAUGCUAGUAAAAAUCCUCUAAGUGGCCGGCCUCUAUGUAGAAAAUGAGAGAAAAUGUUUCACCCAAUUUCUAUUAGAAAACCCUAAUGAGAAACAAAGCUAUAAAGAUGACUUUAUACUUCAUCUCUUAGGUUAGUGGCAAACUUGCAAUUAAACAAAAAUUCCCACUACCCUUGCUAUGGCCGGCCUCCUUUUUGUUAUUGGGCUAAAUACCCAUAUUUGUUUUAGUUGUCAUACAACUUAAACAUAAUGGGCCUAGUGGACCAAAACAAUUUUGGACCCCCGAAGCCCAAACUAACUUAAAAAGCCCAAUACGAACCUUUCGUAUAAUUAAUUAACUAAUUAAUUAACUUUGACCAUUCUUCAAUUAAACCAUUUAAUUGCUUAUCCAUUUCAUAUAAUUUCUUCACUAACAUCCUUAUGUGGUGUGCGAUCCAUUAGGUUCCAAUUAGCGAGGCAGUGGGCGAUGUUACUCUUAACGAUCGAUUGUGAAUUGAAACCACAUUUCAAUUCUCCCUUAAGAUUAGUGUUUGCUAAUCUUCAAGGCUUCCACAAACCAUGAGUGACACCUAGCAGCAUAUCAUGGUUACCCAAGCUAAGUAGAAUUGGUUGGAGAACCUAUCCAGUUACAACUACAAUGCAAUACGGUCCUUCUCUAAUACAAUAUUCUUAAUCACAUUGUUUAAGUGAUAGUUUGUUUCAUGUCUACUAUCCAAUGUGAUACUUUCCUAUAUGAUUCCCUUGAAUAUGAUUUGGAACAAACUUCCUAAGUCAUAUUCAUUUGCUUUGGCCAAAGACUUUAGAAUCAUAUCUUAGAGUAUUCUCCUUCCACCAUGGAAGGUUAAAGAUCCCUUGUUGUGCAUUCAUAUGCCUACAUGGCUAGGUAGCUUGACCCCAAUAAUGCCGUGGACAAUCCGAAGGAAUGCCGUUGACAUGAUCAAAGAUCAAGGACCUAACCAUUAGACAUCUAUGAUGCCUCAGGUCAAAGGACUACUUUGCAUAUUGCAACUUUAGAGUUCAUACAUGACAUGUAUGUUCGAACUCUCUUUUGAUCGACGUUCAGUGUACUCGAUUACCUUUUCGAGCACCUAUGUGUUUGUCUCAGUGUCCAACACCAAAUGACUUGAGACUAGUUCAUACUCACGUUUGAGUCAACAUAACACAUACUAACCUUAGCGGAUUGUCAAUGCCCAAUUGGCAAUCCUAUGGCUAGGAACGUUUUAGGAAUAAACAUAAGAGAAAGGUCUCGAUAAUCUAACUCACUUAGAUCACUUGUCUCUUAGAUCAAAUACAUUCCUUGGAUUCCCUUAUUGCUUAAACACAUGAUACAAUAAAUAGUGAUUAACAAUAAGCUUUGCCCUUCAUUAAACAUAUAAAAGUUUAAUACAAUAAGUAUUCCAAAAGCUAUUACAUCAAAUGAGUGGCUUUGUGGGCAUACUUCCAACAAUCUCCCACUUGCACUCAAAGCCAUCUUCCCAUGUAUCUAAUACCCAUUUUAUCCAUAUGACGAUCAAGCUGGAUUUGAGACAUUGGCUUUGUCAGUGGAUCUGCUACGUUAUCGGCUGAGGCAACUUUGAGGAUGUUGACUUUCCCCUCGGCAGCAUAUCUUCUAAUGAUAUUAAAGCGUCUGUCAAAAUGCUUGUUCUUUUGAUGUGCCCUGGGUUCCUUGGCUUGAGCUAUCGCCCCACUAUUAUCACAGUACAAAGUUACUGGUGAUGUAAUGGUUGGAACCACUCCAAGUUCAGUAAUGAACUUCUUCAUCCAUAACGCUUCUUUGCCGGCUUCAGCUGUAGCGACAUAUUCAGCCUCUGUCGUGGAAUCAGCAAUUACACUUUGCUUCUUGCUUUUCCAACUGACAGCCCCACCAUUCAGAGUGAAUACAUAUCCGGAGUUGGAACUUCUAUCAUCGACGUCAGAUUGGAAAUCUGCGUCUGUAUAGCCUUCCACUCGCAACUCUGUCGCUCCUCCAUAUACGAGGAACAUGUCCUUAGUUCUUCUUAAGUACUUAAGGACCGUCUUGACAGCUGCCCAGUGUUCUAAUCCUGGGUUAGAUUGAUAUCGACUAGUAAUGCUCACAGCAUAUGCGAUAUCUGGCCUUGUGCAUAUCAUGGCAUACAUGAGACUUCCUAUGGCGGAAGCAUAAGGAAUCCUUCUCAUAUGCCCUAUCUCUUCAGGAGUCUUAGGUUCCAUGGACUUAGAAAGGUGAAUUCCAUGUCUUACAGGAAGAAAGCCUUUCUUAGAUUGUUCCAUCUCGAACCUACUUAGCACCUUAUCAAUGUACAUUGAUUGGGAUAAUCCAAUUAAUUUUCUGGAUCUAUCACGAUAGAGCUUUAUCCCAAGUACAUAAGAUGCAUCUCCUAAAUCUUUCAUGUGGAAGGUUUUGGACAACCACACUUUUACAGAAGAAAGUAUUGCAGUGUCAUUCCCGAAUAGUAAUAUGUCAUCUACAUAUAACACUAGGAACACAACUGCAUCCCCAACGACUUUUUGAUAAACACAAUUGUCGUCUUCGUUUUGAGUAAAACCAAACGUUUUGAUUUCAGUAUCGAAACGAAUGUUCCAGCUCCUGGAGGCUUGUUUAAGUCCAUAAAUGGAUCUUUGAAGCUUGCAUACCUUAGUCUUUUCAGACUUGGACACGAAACCUUCGGGUUGAGUCAUAUAGAGCUCUUCCUCUAGGUAGCCGUUCAGAAGGCCGUCUUCACGUCCAUUUGCCAGAUCUCAUAAUCAUGGUACGCAGCUAUCGCAAGCAAAAUCCGAAUGGACUUAAUCAUGGCUACAGGAGAGAAGGUUUCUUCAUAGUCAAUCCCUUCUCUUUGCCUGUAACCCUUGGCUACUAGUCUAGCCUUAUAAGUCUCCACGUUCCCAUCAACGCCUAUCUUCCUCUUGAAGACCCAUUUGUUUCCAACAGGUACAAUACCUUCUGGAGGGUCUACAAGAGUCCAGACCUGAUUUUGAUACAUGGAAUCCAUCUCGGAUUUCAUGGCCUCUUGCCAUCUCUUUGAAUCAAUGUCGGACAUUGCUUCAGUGUAGUCUCUAGGGUCCUCCUUUGUUUCAUUGUCACCUAGAAGGUACAAUUCAUCAAAGUCAUUGUCUAAGCCAUACCUCUUAGGUGGCUUACUAACCCGUUCAGAUCUACGUGGAGCUAGGGGUUCAGGAACAGGGUUGUCAAUAUGUCUAGUGCUUGUUUGUGGUUCAUUAUUAAUCUCAUUAAUUUCCAUCUGUUUGCUUAUAGUCCCUUUGAGAACGAAUUCGUCCUCUAGAAACUUAGCAGUUCUGGCGACAAAGACUUUCUGGUCGUCAGGAUGGUAGAACUCAUAUCCCAUAGUUUCUUUAGGAUAUCCCACAAAAUAGCAUCUUACUGAUCUCGCUUCAAGCUUAGUAGCUUCAAGCUUCUUGACAUAUGCUUCACAACCCCAAAUCUUAAUGUGUUUAAGACUUGGCUUUCUUCCAUGCCAUAUCUCAUAGGGCGUUUGUGAAACUGAUUUGGAAGGUACUCUAUUGAGCAAGUAAGCUGCUGUAUAUAGAGCGUAUCCCCAGAAUGUUACUGGUAGAUCAGCAGAACUCAUCAUAGAACGAACCAUGUUCAUCAAGGUUCGAUUUCUCCUUUCAGAAACUCCAUUGAGUUGUGGAGUUCCUGGAGGAGUCCACUGUGAUAUUAUUCCACACUCUUUGAGAUAAUCUAGGAACUCAUUACUCAGAUAUUCACCCCCUCGAUCUGAUCUUAGGGUCUUUAUAUGUUUCCCAGUUUGCUUCUCAACUUCAUUCUUGAAUUCUUUGAACUUUUCAAAGGAUUCUGACUUGUACUUCAUAAGAUACACAUAGCCAAACCGAGAGUGAUCGUCGGUGAAUGUGCUAUAGUAGGAGAAGCCUCCUCUCGACGUAGUAGACAUAGGCCCACAUACGUCAGUGUGGAUUAACCCUAGAAUUUCAGUGGCACGCUCUCCUUUUCCAGUAAAUGGAGAUUUGGUCAUUUUCCCUUUCAAGCAACAUUCACAAGUACCCAUCCGGUCAUUACCUAAUGGGCGGAAAUAUCCGUCUUUCGACAUCUUGCGAAUCUUAUCAAGGUUCACAUGUCCAAGUUUAAGAUGCCACGUCUUUUCUUGGUUAACAACUUCUCUAGCCCUUUUGGGUUUUGAGGUAUUCCCGCUUUCAAUACAGUGCAACCCAUUAUUCGUCUCUAGGUGAAAAAGUCCCUCUAUCAUAUUACCAUGAGAGAUAAUACGACCGUUCAAGUAUAAAGUGCAACUCAUUUUGUCAAACAAUACUGAGUGCCCAUCUCGUAAAAGCUUAGAGAUGGAAAUCAAAUUCUUUAUACAUGAAGGAAAAUAUAAACAAUUUUUAAGUUCCAGGACUUCCCCAGAGGGUAGGUUAAGCAUGUAGGUGCCUAUUGCUUUUGCUGAGAUUUUAGUGCCGUUCCCAACUCGCACAAUCAUCUCCCCAUUGCUCAGUGACUUGCUCCCUACUAGUCCCUGCAUCGUAUUACAGAUAUGUUGACUAGCGCCUGAAUCAAAUAUCCAGGAAUUGGAGCUCACUGUAAAAGAACUCUCUAUGACAGAAAUAGUCUCUUCAAAAGUUCGUGUCAUAAGGCUCGCAAUGCUUACCCUGUAUUUCUUCUUCCAACGUUCAUCCUUUCCACAAUGAAAGCAUGUUCCUUUGGAUUUCUUUGCCUUCUUCUUAUGCAACCUUUUCCUUAUGUUUGCAUUCUCACUCCCACUGUCCAUUUGAAACCUUUUUCAAAUGUACAGCACAUGUCAAUCAUCUCUUUCAAAGAAUGAUCGAAUCUAUUCACUUUAUAGUUUACAAUAAACUUAGUGAAAUCAUCCGAGAGAGAUGCAAGGAAAAAGUCUUGGGCCAUUUUCCCAUCGAUGGAAGUUCCUAAACUUUUAAGAUUUUUAAAUAUCUUUUCCAUCUUUUGUCCAUGUUCAUGGACCGAUGUCCCCUUUGCCAUCUUGGCAUUCAUUAGACUACAAACAUUUGAGAAUCGUACAUUACUAGUCUCAAUGUCAUGCAUCUUAUGCAAACUUUCAACCAUGGCACAAGAAGUGUCCAUGUGCUUAUGUAGCUUCAUAAGCUCCUCACUAAGUGAAGUGAGGAUUAAACAUUUGGCUUGUAAGUCAUCCUCAUAGUGUCUAACAUAAUUUUGACACUCCUCCUUUGAAGCUAAUUUCGUAGGAGGUACAUGAGGAGGGGAUUGCUUAAGCACAUACAAUAUGUCUUUCACCUUUGAGACAUUCUCAAUGUGGCGAUACCAAGCAAGGAAACGUUGGCCCUUAAGGCCCCUUUUGUCAAGUAUAAUGGUGGGUAUAAUUUUAGGCAUGUCGUUCACUACAUAACAUAACAGAAAUCGUAUUAGAUUGUUUGUUUAAAACUAUUUGAUUGGGUCUUUGAAUCAAAUAGUACCACCCACUAUUUUUGGCAAAUUCCACAUCCCUCAAUAGAAUUCGAGAGUUAUUUUGAACUCUUAGCGGGUUAUGGGAGACUCACCAUUACCAAGCCCACCUCACGAUGAUACGAUAUUGGUUAGCAAAAAUAAUGAUGAGAGAAUAACGCAUUAUUCAUUUACAACUUUUGUAAUUACCCAUCCGUUUGGCCUCUAGAGAAUGUUGCCUCACGAUGAUACGAUAUCGGCACCAUUGCACUUAGUUUAAGUUAUUCCCACCAUGCUUAGUGUGUGAAGGGGUUCAAGAAUAGCCUCACGAUGAUACGAUGUCGGCUACCCUCGUUGCCUACACUCACCUCAUCAUAUGUUUAUGGACUCCUCCUGGAUGUAAGCACAUACUGUGUACUCCCCCAUGAUAGGGUGAAGCCGGUGUAUGAGUCACAAACGCUUGGAGUCCACCACGGUGGAAGGCCUACGAAGAGAUAUUCUAAACAUCUCUCGCUUAUCAACUUAAAUCUUCAUUUUGAGGGAGUUGUUUUGGGCUACAUCAAAACAUUUUAAUCACAUUAAAAGAACUUGGGCCUAUCACAACUAUUGGUCCAAGUCAAUAUGAAUUAGUAGCAUAUAAUACUCCCACUGUUUCGUUGAAACAAGCGAGACUAUAUGGAACUACUAACGAAUGCAUUGCAUCCUCAUAUGGACUAUAUAGUCAUAUUAGGUUUUAGGAUGAUUAUGAACCGUUUGAUUUGAUCCAACACGAGCCUUGUGUUGGACCUUGGGUUUAAGGUAGAUAGUUGUUGAUUUUAGUUACGCGUUUAAUCCAAUUAAACCGUUAUUUCCUAUUGGGCGUUGGACCCAACUAUUCCAUUUUGCAUACAUAUAAACAAAAAGGAAUACAUGAAAUAAUAAUAAGGGCUUAUGCCCUUUUACAACAUAAAUCAAAUGAUGGACUUAUGUCCAUUUACAACAAAUUGAAUUAAUCAAAUUACAUUCAAAUCUACACUACCAAACCCAAACAUUCAUAAUGUAUAUCGGCCAAUCACAUAGCUCAAUUAUCGUGGCCUUUGGUUCAUAAUCACCCUUUUCUUAAUCAAUCACAUUAACUAAGAAAACAUCUUUAAACAAUUGGUUUUUGGAUCCAUAGAAUUGAUUUAAAUGGAACUAAAUAGAAUGAAAAUCCAAUUCUCAUUAAAGAGACAAAACAAUUUUGUUCUCAUUUUAUUUGGGCCAAAAGGAAACUAUGACCACAACAAUUGGGCCAUAAUGCAAAUACAAAAACUUUUGGGGUCACUUUGUAUAAACAUAACUUCAUGUAAAUACAACUAGAUCCCAAAAUUUUAAUAAUGUAAAAACAUCAUUAAAGGAUCAAAACAAUUUGUCCUUUAGAGUUUUAGGGUCUUAACGUAAAAACGUAAACUUUUGGGCCAAAAUGCAAAUACACAAAAGUAUCUAAAACUUUAUGUAAUUGCACAAAAGGCCCUAAAAGCACCCCCACUAGGGGUGGCCGGCCAUUUGGAGUGAACAAGUGAAAAUUUUGAAAUUUUUGAAAAAGUUUUUGCAAGUUGAUUAAAGUACUUAAGCAAGUGGAAUGGUUGGUGAAGAAAGUCUUUGCAAUCUUUAAAGACUUGUAAGAAAUGUAAGAAAAUGUUUUGUAAACAUUAAUGACAUUUUCCUUUCUUCACCCUUAAGUUAUAAUACAAAAUUAAUAAACCAAAACUUUAUGAAAAACAUAAAACUUUUGAAUCAAAACUUCAAAACUUUUUGUUCUUGGCAAGAACUUCAAGAACAUGAAGAACAAACAUGAAAAACUCAUAAUAGCUCCAUGGAUGUUUUCAUUCACCAAAACUCAAUUUUUCACCUCUCAAAAGAGGGCUAAUAUCCUAGGGUACUUAGGGGUUCCAAAAGUCAUCUUAAAACCAUUUUAACAAGACAAACAUGAACCCAAAAAGUCACCCUAAGGAUUUGGCCGAAUUUCCCAAAACUCAUGGCACCAAAUUUUAGUUCCAAUAUUCAUGCUUAAAUGAAAUACAUCUACAACAUUUGAGAUGCUAAAUUUUCUAGCAAAAUUUAUAUAUUCAAAAGCAAGAAGAACAAAGCUUGUAAACAUUUACAACAUUUAAAUCACAAAAUAUGAACAUCACAAAACCCAAAAGGAUUCACCAUACACUAGGCCUAGGCUCUGAUACCACUUGAAGGAAAAAUUUUGUCCUAGCUAAGAACAAGUAUGAACAUUUGAAUACACACAUGCAAGCUAUUAACACUUUAAAGUAGGCAUGCAUCCAAAAACAAUUCAUAAAACCCAUGACUUUCAAAGCCUAGUAUAUGGUGAACCAAAAUAAACUCUUUAACAACAUUAAAGAGAAGUAAAGAUUUAGUGAUUCUUUACCCUUGAAGCUCAUCCUUGUUUACACAAGGGAUUCACCCAAGUGGAGGGUCUUCAAGUCACCUCCAAGCUCCUUGAAUCCUCCUUGUGUUUUCCUCCCUUUAGUGCUCCUUUGAUGAUUAGAGGAAAAAGGAUUUGUUCUCCAAAAACAUCAAAAGCUUGAUGUCUCUAAGUCUCUUCACCAAGGUUGUAUAUUGUGAAGAUGAAUUGGAUGACUUAGAGAGAUUUUAGAUGCUAGUAAAAAUCCUCUAAGUGGCUGGCCUCUAUGUAGAAAAUGAGAGAAAAUGUUUCACCCAAUUUCUAUUAGAAAACCCUAAUGAGAAACAAAGCUAUAAAGAUGACUUUAUACUUCAUCUCUUAGGUUAGUGGCAAACUUGCAAUUAAACAAAAAUUCCCACUACCCUUGCUAUGGCCGGCCUCCUUUUUGUUAUUGGGCUAAAUACCCAUAUUUGUUUUAGUUGUCAUACAACUUAAACAUAAUGGGCCUAGUGGACCAAAACAAUUUUGGACCCCGAAGCCCAAACUAACUUAAAAGCCCAAUACGAACCUUUCGUAUAAUUAAUUAACUAAUUAAUUAACUUUGACACUUCUUCAAUUAAACCAUUUAAUUGCUUAUCCAUUUCAUAUAAUUUCUUCACUAACAUCCUUAUGUGGUGUGCGAUCCAUUAGGUUCCAAUUAGCGAGGCAGUGGGCGAUGUUACUCUUAACGAUCGAUUGUGAAUUGAAACCACAUUUCAGUUCUCCCUUAAGAUUAGUGUUUGCUAAUCUUCAGGGCUUCCACAAACCAUGAGUGACACCUAGCAGCAUAUCAUGGUUACCCAAGCUAAGUAGAAUUGGUUGGAGAACCUAUCCAGUUACAACUACAAUGCAAUACGGUCAUUCUCUAAUACAAUACUCUUAAUCACAUUGUUUAAGUGAUAGUUUGUUUCAUGUCUACUAUCCAAUGUGAUACUUUCCUAUAUGAUUCCCUUGAAUAUGAUUUGGAACAAACUUCCUAAGUCAUAUUCAUUUGCUUUGGCCAAAGACUUUAGAAUCAUAUCUUAGAGUAUUCUCCUUCCACCAUGGAAGGUUAGAGAUCCCUUGUUGUGCAUUCAUAUGCCUACAUGGCUAGGUAGCUUGACCCCAAUAAUGCCGUGGACAAUCCGAAGGAAUGCUGUUGACAUGAUCAAAGAUCAAGGACCUAACCAUUAGACAUCUAUGAUGCCUCAGGUCAAAUGACUACUUUUCAUAUUGCAACUUUAGAGUUCAUACAUGACAUGUAUGUUCGAACUCUCUUUUGAUCGACGUUCAGUGUACUCGAUUACCUUUUCGAGCACCUAUGUGUUUGUCUCAGUGUCCAACACCAAAUGACUUGAGACUAGUUCAUACUCACGUUUGAGUCAACAUAACACAUACUAACCUUAGCGGAUUGUCAAUGCCCAAUUGGCAAUCCUAUGGCUAGGAACGUUUUAGGAAUGAACAUAAGAGAAAGGUCUCGAUAAUCUAGCUCACUUAGAUCACUUGUCUCUUAGAUCAAAUACAUUCCUUGGAUUCCCUUAUUGCUUAAACACAUGAUACAAUAAAUAGUGAUUAACAAUAAGCUUUGCCCUUCAUUAAACAUAUAAAAGUUUAAUACAAUAAGUAUUCCAAAAGCUAUUACAUCAAAUGAGUGGCUUUGUGGGCAUACUUCCAACACUUUUGUCUCCUUGAUCCUUGGCUCCAUGGAUGUAGAUGGAGGAACUUGGCAUCUUAGCUCCAUAUCUUUUUGGAUUUGGAUGGAGGAAUGGAUUCUCCAAAAGACUUCAAAGUUGGAGGUCUCUAAGUUUCGACACCAAGGAUGGUUGAGGAAGAAGAUGAGUGACCAUGGAAGAACAAAAUGCUAGCAAAGUUCUCCCAUGGUGGCCGACCUCUUUGUAUUUGGAAAGACUUCAUAAAUCUCAUUCAUACUCAGGCCAGAGAUUCUUAAUCAUAUCAUAAGGUAUUCUCUUUCAACGGUUUGAAGGUUAGAGAUCCCUUAUUGCACAUUCACAUGUCCCUAUGAUUAACUAGCUUAGCCCCAACUAAGCCAUGGACACUUUAAUGGAAUGCCUUUAACACAAUCAAAGACUAAGAACCUAACCACAAAACAACCGUGAUAUCUCGGGUCAAAGGACUAUUUUGCAUUAUUCCAACUAUGAGUUCUCAUGUGACAUGAUUAUGAGAACUCCUUGUUGAUCGCAUUCAAUAAACUCAUUCUCUAUUGAGCACUUACAUACUUGCCUUGGCAUCAAUCACACUAAUGACUCAAGAUCAGUCACUCUCCCGAAGAGAAGUCAUAACAUGUAUUGAUCUUAAUAGAUCGUCAAUGCCCAAUUGUCACAUCCCGGCCCGGGGUCCACCACAUCCUGGGCCCGUUCCACCAUCGUAGCACGAUAUUGUCCGCUUUGGACCCCAACUACGCCCUUACGGUUUUGUUUCUAGGAACUCAUACGAGAACUUCCUAGUAGGUCACCCAUCAUAGGAUUGCUCUAGUGCGUUACUCGCUUAACUUCGGAGUUCCAAUGGAACCCGAAGCCAGUGAGCUCCCAAAAUGCCUCAUGCUAGGUAGGGAUGAAUACACAUAUAAGGAUCACUCCCAUGAGCGAUGUGGGAUCUUACACUAAUUGGCAAUCCUAUUAUCAGGAACGUUUAUGAUAUGUGUACGAAAGAGAAUGGUCUCAUGAAUCUAACUUACUUAGAUCACAUUCUCCUAGUUACAUAUUUUUUGGAAUUAUUAUUUAAGUGUAUACAUUUAAUGAGACAGCUUUAAACAAUAAUCGUUACUCUUACAUUAAACUAUUUAAUUUGACAUGUGAAAUGUCUGUAAAGUAUCAUCUUAUGAUUGGGUUUAUGGCACAUUUCGGACAGUUCCUACACUACCGAAGGUAACCCUGUCAUUUUACAAGUUAGAAAGGAAGCAUAAUGAGAUGAAUGAAAUAGUGUGAUGUAAUGCAUGCCUUAUGGUGCAAGGCUUCUCUCAAACGCCUUGUGAUUGAUUACGUUAUUAUGAAUGUGGUUAGUGUUUCUCCACGGGGAUAUUGACACAGAGAUUUACAUGUAAGUUUUUGAAAAAUUACAUGGACUAGUUUGAAAAGUUCCAAACCACAAAACACCCUCUCAACUCAUUUGAGGCAUUCACUUUAUGGAUUGAAGCAAUCCCCGGCUAAGUUAUUAUUUGAUCAGUAAGGGAUAUGAAAUUAUGCCCUUACGUGUUAACUUAAGAAGUUAUAUUUCGAAUUGCUAAAGUUGCAGUUUAUAUCAAUGACAUGAAUCUUACUAAGGCUCCAGAAGAGUUUGAGAAAACUGCCUCACACUUGAAGACAUAAUUUGAGAUGAAAGAUCUUGGAAAACUCGUUUAUAUCUUGACUUGGAGUUCAAAGCGCUGAUCUGACAAUAUUUUGGUCUACCAGUCGAACUACACCCAAAGGUGUUACCUUUGAGUAUACCUAUGGUCAUCCAUACGCUAUAUGCAAAUAACACCCUUGAAAAGGUUAUAGAAUCUAAAGUUCCAUAUCUGAGUUGAACUUUCCGCUUUUGUUUUACUUAACUCAUUGCAUUAGACAUGACAUCUCUUUUACUGUUGAUCUAUUGGUAAAGAUGCAGCACUGCGCCUACACGUACCCACUGAAUUGGUAUUAAAGAUGUUUUCCGCUACCCUGAAGAUACUACGGAUUUCAGCUAAUCUCUAUGCAUCCAGAGCGGAUCCAACCCCUAUAAUCCUCGGAAUGAUGUUUUUCUUGAUACUAUGCCGCAUGUAUCAAUUAGACGAAGGCAUGAUACAUCAACGCCAAGACAUAUUGUGUCUACAUCACAUCAACAAAGAAUUAGGAGAUUGAAGUCAAGCAAUCUGAUCCCAGACAACCUUGCCAACCUCUUCACGACGCCACUACCGAAGUCUACCUUCUAGAAGCCUGUUUGAGAAUUGGUAUGUGUCACUAUCUCAUAUGAAAUGCUUGUAGUUCUCAUUUGGAAGUUUUGUUAAACUCAUGGGGCAUCCAGAAGUAUACUCACUCGAUCGUAAUGUAAUCUUUUUCCCUACGCUUAGGAGCAUUUUUCCUACUAGAUUUUUGCUACCUAACUAGGUUUUAAUGAGGCACCCAUCCUGGAUUGGCCAUACACUUAUGAGUUUGCUAUUUGCGUCCAAAAGACGUAUAGUUUUGACUUAAUGCAACUUCUCACGUUGCUCCUUAGUCUAUCAGUUUUUAUCCCACCUUGGGCUUUAUCAUAGUGAGGUUUUGUGUGUUUGACCUUUUUAUGCAUUCUUCCGUUGAUUUGAGACUCGCAUUCGCUCAUUGUGCCAACAACUUCAUUAAUUGUAUUUACUUUAUUGUUGAAGACCUGAUGCGUUAUUUACUUGAAUAUUUACACACUAAAGAAGAAGUGUUGCAAUCUAAUUAGGUUAAGAAUGUGAUUAUAUUUACAUACUCAACGACUUCAUCAAUUGUAUUUACUUCAUAUCAAAAUAUUUACUAUGCAUACUUUUCUCAAAUAUGAAUUACCCCGUAGAUUAAUAAACUAAAAAAUUGUAACUUACGCGUAGCACACCAUGAUUAAGAAAAACCUCUCGUCGUGCACGAAAAAGCGCAUGCAAAAAGGUUAAUUCUAAAAAUACUUUUUAAAUUAUCUAAAUUGCAUAUUACUAGAACGCUCUUUGUCAAUCGAAAUAGGAUGAAAAUACUAUUUAGUCUUCUAUGACAACAAAAAAUUUAAGAGCAGUAACGUAAUUUCACAAAACAAAAUUUUAUUAUUUUUUAUUUCAAUCUCACCCAUGGUCUAAAAUAUCCAUAAUAUCUCGAUAUUUCCAUUGAAAUUUCCGUGUUUUUGGACUAUCGAUAUUUUUUUGAACUACCGAUAUUUCCGAUAUCAUCGAUAUUUUAGACCUUGCUAAGUCACUCAUGUAUUUUACCAUGCAAUGUAUAAAGUGUAAAAUAUUGUACUAAUUCAUUAUAUAUAAAUGAUUAUGGUGUGUUUAAACUUCUUUCAUUAAUUACUACAUAUUUUCUACACUCAUAAUGUUUGUCAGCUCGCUAUAUAAUCAACUUAAAUCAGUUAUAUCUAUCAUGCAAUGCAUUUCCUUCCAAUUUUUUGUGAUAAACUAAUAGAUAAUUAACUAAAUAAACAUCCUGCAAAGUUUCAAUAAAAAUUUCCAAGUUUUUCUUACAAUUUCCAUAGUUUUUAUUCAAUUUUUAUCGAUAUCGAUAAUAUCCCGAUAUUUCCAUCGAAAUUUCCGUAUUUUUAGACUACCGAUAUUUCCAAUAUCAUCGAUAUUUAAUACCUUAAUAUCACCUACAAAUGAUUUUAACAUCCUUAAUUUUAAAAAUUAAAAAAUAAAACUCUCUCUCUACUCCCACGUUCUCAGUCACUUACUUCCUCUCUCUCUCUCCCUCAAUUUUAAAAACAAAAAUAAUUUUUUUAAAUAUUUUAUAAACACAUGAUCUUGUUGGUUUAAUCAGAUGCGAAAAUUAAAGAGAGGAAUCUACAUUUUCUACGACCAAGCGAACAGAGGAAUAGAGGGUUAGGAUGGCCGAUUCAUCUUCGUCUCCUUCACAGUCCUUCGUUACAAAGCAUUGGGAGGGUUACAAGGAUUUCUGGUGCGAGCGAUUCUCCUUCCUCAACAACUACUCCAAGUUCGUCAAGCGGGACAAGCCCCUCCCUCCCUGGUCCGACUCCGACGUCGAAGCCUUCAUUGCUCUCGACCCUGUCAAUGGCCCCGCUGUAAUUUCUUACCCUUCUGUCUUUCUUCCAUUUUAUUCCUUUUUAUAAUUGUUUAGGGUAUAUGGGUUUCUUUGAUUUCGUGUUUUUCUGACCUUUGUGGAUCUGGGUGUACGUAUUUUUGUUUCUCUUUUGAUCUUUUUUCUGUUUUUUCAUCUGGGUAUUUGUUAAUUUUUUUCUCCUUGAUUCAAUUUUGGAGAUGUGCCCCUUUUUGUCGAAUUUCUUGAUUUCAUUUUGGAGCUGUGCCCCUUUUCUUUUUUCGAGAUGAAUAAUGUUGGUUUGAGUUGAUGUAUUCAUCUGGGUGAGGUUUUUCCGUCUAUUGUUUCAUUAUUUUUUUCGCUUAUUGUUUAUGCUUGGUGCCUUUCGGUUACGAAUGAGUGAGGUUGGUGCUUUAAUGUUUGGAUGGUCUACGGGUGGGGUGUUUAAAUGGCUUAGGCAAAACGAUGAAUGGAUGUUCAGAAAUUUGCAUUAGAUUUGAUUCGAGACUGUUGUUUUUUUGGCAUGAAAGUAAUCAAAAUAAGCGACAUGCAGUGUUUGGAGUUGAAUUUUAGUUUAUUGAUGUUUUGAAGAGAAGGAGUAACAAACCUGAAAUCAAACUGAUGCGCAUGAACCAGUAGAGAAAGCAAAGAGCUAUGUGGCUGGAGACUCCGUCCUUAUUUUCUGUCAUGUAUUUCUGGUGGCAUUUUGUUUGGGACCCUUUGAAAAUGCUUUGUAAGCGGACAUGUCUGGUUAUUCGUGGAAACAGUCAAGAUUCUUGAUUGUUAAGAAAUUUUGUCUAUUUACCUGAGCAAGCAAGUAAACAACUAAUCAGUCUUGCCCUCGGAAAUUAUCGAGGUUCACUCCAAACAAACUGUAUUUUGUAUUUCCAGUGUGGAAAAGAAACACGUCUAAAUUGCUAUUCUCUUCUUUUUGGUAUCUUUUCAUAUGUCUUGUUAUGUUGCCACCGGCCUCCACCUGAAAUGCAGCAUAAAUGAAGUGGAAAAGCAUAUCUGAUUUUGUUUACCUUAUAUAUUUAGAUUUCUUAUUUAUUCUUUUGCAGCUCUAAGUAGUGGCUUUGUGCCACUUAGUACUGCGGUCUAGUGAUAUUCCUCUUCACUUGUAAGUGAGAGGUCUUAGGUUCGAUUCUCGCCAAAGGCGAAUUUGAACCACAUUAUUGCUAGCCCAUUUUGAGGCUAAGCCCACCCUCUCCCCCUUAGUGUAAAUAAUGUUGUUUGUUCAAAAAAAAAAAAAAAAAGUGGCUUUGUAUUUCUUGUUCAAGACAAAAAUGAAAGGUUUUCUAAAUGCAAACAAAUACCAUUUGCUAAUCUUCUGUUCCAAUCAUGUAUUAUACUAUUUUCUGGUAACCCAGUUAUUUUGCCUGCAACUUGACAAGAUGUCUGCUAAUAUGAUAACCGAGUCUCAUCUUAUGGUUCAAUGAUGCAUUUUCUGUACAGCUAAGGUGUGUUUUCUUUGAAUAGCUGAGUUAACACGCUUUUGUUUUGCAGCUGAAGACUGCUAGGGAAGCAGUGAACUUUGGUCUUACGGGAAGUGUUAUUGGAGCGGUAUCAACUGCUGGCUUUGCGUGGAAAUAUUCAAGGAGUUUACAUGGUAACAAUUUGCCUUUUCUUUUAGGGUUUACGAUUCUAUAUGAACAAGUACUGCACAAGGAUCAGAUGUAUCUGGUUCCUUGUUUUUACCUUCACUUAAUAAGCUGGCUAUUAGUUGGAUCUCUAAUUAUAGCACCACUUCUUCAGUUCGGCCUGACAUUUUUUUUGCUUUAAAGUUCAACAUUUUCUUUAAACAACCUUUCAAAUUUGUGGAUGAAUAAAAGAUGCAUAUCUAAUAAUUGGACACAUCAACACAUCUUGAUAUCUUAUUGAUGUACUAAGUUCGUGUUCACUGGCAAAAGAUGCUACUUAUGAAAAUGAUAGUGCUUAUAACUGGGUAUGAUAAGAUGGACUGACAUUGAUUUCUAUCAGUGGCAAAAAGAAAAUAUCGUAUGAAUAGUUCAUUAUUUCUUUCUUAUGUUUUUUUUUUUGUUUUCCAUUCCACUUGGCCUGCAUUGUCUAUCUAUAUUCUUGAAGCAUAAAUUUCUGCAAAAAUUUGGAUAUAUUUAGUACACGAAUUUUACCCUUUCCUUUAUUGGUUCCUGUAUGCUUUGGGUGUACAUGGGUGUGCCGUGUUUCCAAUAAACUACCUUCUUUUAUCAGGGACUUUGUCUCAUUGGUUAUUUUGUGGUGUCCUGUAAUCUCAAGGUUCGUAUGCAGUGGAAGAAAUUUUCCUUGUAAUCUAGGUUCUUGUUUCAACUGUUUCCCUUUCCAAGAGCCGGACUUUAUUUAAUCUGUAGCCUUCAUUGUUGAAAGCAAAUUAAGAUUAAGCAGUCAAGCUUUGGUAGGGAAUCAUAAAGCAGCGGUAGGUUAUGAUGCAAAUAUUCCCUUUGUCUAUUUGAGUGAGCUUAUGGUCGUGCAUACAGAAUAGGCUGUGAAGAUAUUAGUAACAUGUCUUGGUAGGAAUCAACCUUAUUCCUAUAUUACAUGUUGUAGUGUAUUACAACAGAUGAGUGCUAUCGCUCGGUGAUGCAUAUGACAUCUGUCUAGGAAUUUUAACUUGCAAUCUUCAUAUGUUUCAAUCAGGAGCAUUACGAUUGACGAUAGGUUCUUUUAGAAUACAUUAUGUUAUGGAUGGGAGGAUCUGGUUUCUGAACCCUUAUGCAUUUGGCAGGUGCUGGACUGUCCUUUCUAGCUGGAGGUGUUUUUGGCUGGACAUUUGGACAGGAAGUUGCAAAUCACUGGCUGCAACUUUACAGGUUCGACGCCUUGGCUGCACAAACCAAGUUCCUUGAGUGGUGGCAAGAAAAGAACGAGAGACGAUCUUAAACAUGGCUUGCUCUCGGAAGCAAAGAUAAUAACCGUUGUUCCAGUUGUACAAUAAGAAGCAAACACACCUGUGUUGAAAAUUGUAAUGGGAAAAGAUGGUAUUCACUUUAUAUUUGUGCUAGAUUGUUUUCUUUUGGGCUCUCAAGAAAAUCAAUCUGAUUGUGAACUUUGUGGACUGUGAUGGAUUUUUCGUGUGCGGAGAAAAUUGUUGGAUUUGGUGAUUAUUUCAGAUGUUACAGGUGACGUGCGAUCUUGGAUGCGCAUUUGACUUGUGACCCAAGGACGAGGUUUACAAUUAAAAUGCGUGUCUCUGGCUUCGUUAGAGUAGGAUGGCAUGACAAACUUGAAUAAGAGUUUUGACACCACUCAAGUAAAUUGUACAAAAUGGGCUUACGGUGGUUGUCUAUUCCAAGAUAAAAUGAUGUUCUUGCAAGCAACGCAACAGUCAAACUCGGUUCACGUAUUACCUCUACUGCAAUGAUCGCUGUACUUCCCCCGUUUUCUGGACACUAAUCAAGGAAAGCAAUUUUUGGAUCUGAACCCAAGUUGCUUCCAUCGAUUUAAAAUCGUUUUUGGCCUGCAUUGCUUUCUUCACCCAAGUUUUAUCAUGCAUACAAUGAUCCAGAAGCAGCUUCUGGCUGUGCUCAAGCUUGCAACGGAACUCAUCCAUUUCGGUUUUGUGGUUGGAAUUUAACUCCUCCAAUUUCUCCAAAUUACCUUUUUCUUCAACCAAUUUUUUCUCCAGCUCUUCAACCCUUGAUUUUUGUACAAUGAUGCAAGCUUGCAACUUUUCUUCAUCCGCUUGAGCUUUUGAAAAAAGGCGAUUAUAGACUUCUACUUCUUGUUCCAGUGCUAUCUUCUGAUUAAAUUUUUUUCUCACUUCAGCUACGGUUCCAUUGGCCUUGUGGUACUUGGACUUCACAGCAGCAAGCUUCACCUGGACAUUUUCAAUGUUCGCAUACUCAACUCCAGUUCGGUCAUAGGCGUUUAGCAAGAUUUCCAAUGACAACUUCAGGUUCCGUAAACAUUCAAUUUCCAUGACUUCAUCCAUAGAGAGUGCGGUGAUACUUUGGAUCUUGGCCUUGGCUUGAGAAAUCUCAUAGGAAUCAGGAAUGGGAGCAUCUUCAGUUAUAGCCAAGAGACAAGCAUCUGGAUGAUGAUGGAGAUAAGUAUCCAGAAAGUCCAAAGCUCGGGCAGAAUGCAGGGGCUUUGACAUCUAAAGUAAGAAUCAGUAAGCAUCAUAACAUGUAAGUGGAUACGAAAUAGUCGAGAUAGAUACAAAUUACCUUGACAUCAAGAUUGUCAUGAAAAUGGGAGCGGUAGGAACCACUUUCUUUACUUAUAGUAUUUGGAUGCGAUGACACUGCUUGAAGCGGGGAUUGAGCUACUUGAGGAGGCCGAGAUUCAGCUGAUUCUUCACUGGGAGGAGAUGAAAUUUGACUAGGAAGCUUCGCAUUUGAAGCAUCCGCAACCUCAGUAGGUGGCACAUCUUCCAGCUUAGGAAUACUGUUAUGUUCAGUUACUUCAGCAAUGUGUUGCAUAUCUAGAUCAGAUUGUUGUCUUUUUGACAGAGGAGGACUCGUGCUUUUCUCAUAGAUGGCUUCCUUAGCCUGAGAAUAGAAUUCAGAAUCGGACUUUGUUAGAUUAAUCAAAAGCCGGUGCACUUCUUCUUUGGUUAUCCUUGUCUUUCCAAAACUUUUGCCUCGUCUAAUCUCGGAUUCAUUUUUGGAUCGAUGAGUGGUUCCUUGGCUUGCCAAAACCUUUGCCUCAGUUGGGUUGGCAUGAGAUAGAUACUUCCCCUUUAUUAUACUUCUCCAAAACGGAAAUGCUUUUUUGGUCGUUCUUUUCUUACAAUGAGCUCUCCCUCGUCCACUCAGGCAUUGAAAAGUAGGCAGAGGAUUUGCUUCUUCUCCAUCCUCAACUUGCGGAGCCACACAUUUGAUUCUUUUUUCUGGUGGGUGUACUUGCAGUCGGUCAGAACAGGGGCGUUCAGUUUGUAUAAGGGUUGACUCUGCAUAAACAAGAAUAAGAAGAGAAAGUUACGAACUUUGAAGAUCAAAUAUUGAAGCCUUCAAACGUAGUCAGCCAUCGGAAAGGUCAACUCAUGUAACAACUAUUGAAGCCUUAAAAAUGUAAGCAGGUUGACCAACCCAGUUAAACUUAAGAGCAAUCUGAAUAAAGUGGAGUACAAAUUAAGAUACUUGAUCCAUCAGCCUUUACAAUUUUGUUGCAGUACUUCAUUAGGAUUAAUAUAAUAGUUGAUUGAUAAACUGUCUCACACAAUUGAUUAGGCAAGUAUUUCAGAUUGAACGUACCUUUACGCUUCUUCAAAGCAUCAUUUGCCUUAAGGGGAGGAAGUGGUCUGUUCUGGUCCAAGUCUUGAAGCUUGAAAAGAUGGAUUAAAUCUUGAUCACGAGGAAACACUUCCUCAUAGUAUUUUGCCCACCAGCCUUUGAACGAUGAGGUGGCUCUAGGUAGAAGUGAAAAUGGAACAAAUUUAAGUUUCUUGAACAAGUGAGAUGCGGUAGCCUCAAGCUCCUGGAAUUGUUCGGAACUUUGAAACACUGUCCUCUCAGAAAAGUCGGUAUUGAAAGAAAAGAAAGGGGGAGCAGGAACGUCCUGAAUCAAGCCGAACUGACGGGCACAGAGAUUUGGGCAAUAUGCUUCCACACCACAAAUUUUUUUUCCAGAUUUUCCACAAGUGAUACAACCAGGAAGAUCACGGCUAACCAGAAAGCUUGCCCACAUGUCCAGGAUUGUAGAAAUUCCAGUUUUGGUCAUUUCAGACCGAGGAAAGAUCAACCAUCGAGGCAACGCAUCUGACUUUGAAUAUGGCAUGAAGUUAAAGUUCUCUUCUGUGUCUAAGUGGCUCAGGUACAAUAAACAAUCGUGAAAGGAAAACUCGGGUCCUUCGAAAAAUACAUAUUUCAGUCCUUCACAAGUGAGGUUGGGUACUGAAAAGCAACUGGGACGUACUUUAGGAAAGUAUGUGUGAAGCCAAAGUUGAAGAAUCCAAAUUGGACCACCAGCAGCACCCAACUCUGAAUCAAGCAAGUCCUUUAUCCCUCUAUACAAGUAAGCAAGAACAAGGGGUCCUAAAGCGUACGGCUCACCCCUAGAUAAAGCCACAGCCAAGGGUAAAUUGGAUGUAACAAUCUUGAACGAACGAGAACAAAGGAGGUAACGACAAAGCCAGUAGUGAAGAAAUGCCACAUGCUCUUCAUCUGUCACAAGGCCCUCAAUUUUGUUAUGUUCUUUAAUAAAGGAAGAAAAGGAGGAGUUCUUUGUAAUUCGAAUGCCAAAGUUAUCAUCCGGAAUGGAGAUGGAAUUAGCAACGAGAGCAUCAAACUGGGGACCAUCUGGUCUAAGUCCUAGCAGAGCACUAAGAUCUAACAGAGUAAUAGUAAGGGGACCAUGACGAAGAUGAAAAGAGUUUGUGGAAGUUGACCAAAAGCAGAGUGCAGCAAGUACUAAAGAACGAUUGAAAGGAAUGGCAAACUUAGAGAAUUGGAGAAUAUCAUAUAUUCCCGCUUUAUGCCAAAUAUAGCCUUUUUGAUCUUCGACUCUUUCAAACCAAGGGACCCAAUUAGGGUCGUUAGUAGGCCACAAACCACGGUGUUCAUAAAACCUUUCGUAGAAUUUGGCAUUUUGAUUGUUUAGAAGAAACUCUUCAGUUUUCCGCUUAGGAAACUCACUAUUAUAACAAUCAGGUAACCUUUUUGUGGAUUUCAGAGCAGGACCUAAGAUAAAGUGUUGGGAAGUCGAAUCAGGGAUAAGUACUUGAAAAUUUGUAGUUUCGGUGCCUAUUUGCUCCUUCAGGUGGUUCAAUCUGUCAAGAGCCUUGGCGUUGGCGUCAGCCGAUUCAUUGCUGGUGGAUGUAAGAGCCAUGUUUCCACACAGAGGUCCUCCUGCUUAUAGAAAAUUUCAACACAAAAUAAAAAUUACUAUUUUUCCAGACUGGUAUCACCAAUCUUCCAUUGUAUCAUUCAAAUUUUAAAUUUUAACCAAAACUUAAAUAAACAAUUUGGGUUAAAAAAAAAACUGCCUUGCAGACUUGCGGUGCGCCCUUUUUCCCCCAAAAAGCUCAAGAAAGCAACUGCACAAACAGAUUAAAAGCAAAUAAAAUUAGGGUUACAUGUAUGACUGUGAGUAGUUAGAAAAGAAACGAUCCGACGAUUAAGACAAGCAUGCAAUGCAUCAGACAGAAGAAAAAUAAUAGAAAUGGAGUAGAUGAUAAAACUAGGGUUAGGGUUUAGCCUUUAGCUUUGCACAUUUCAAUGGAAACAAUUACUGCUAAGUUGAGGCAUGGCAUGAAAAAACUUGCACGCACAAACCAAAACAAGUAGAUAGCUCAAAAGAAGCUUUAAUUCCAAGAUAAUGAAGAAUCAUAAUUUUUACCGAUUCAAACGAAACAAAGAAGAUCAGAAUCAGUUCUCUUCUUUUUCUACACGUUCUUGUUUUGUUGUUUGUGUUGGAAGAAGCGAGGGGAUGGAAAUCUUUUUACAGUGGAAAUGGAGCAACUGAAGCCUGCAGGGAGAGGAGGCUGAGAAGUCUUGUGGUGUACUCUUCUAUUACUGUUUCUGUCUUUUAAAACACAAAAUAUUUUUGCUCACGGGUCACCGCUCACACAUCUAUACUAGCUAUAAUACUCAUCAUCUUAUUUAUUAUUAUCAAAUAAAAUUUAAAUUUAAUAUUAAGCGCAAAUUUCCAUAUUUAAAUUUAUUUAACAAAAAAUAAGUGAAUUUUAACGAAAAGUUUCAGGUACUGUUUAUUUUAAUGAAAAAUCAUAUUUUUACACUAAAAAGUCAAUCCUAGUAUUAUUUACUUUACCCUUUAUUUUAUCUUUAUCGUUAAAACUCACAACUUUCAAAUCAUUUGAAUUAGUUUUCCUUAUAAAUAAAUAGAAUGAUGACAACUUUCAAAUCAUUCGCAUUAGUUUCCUUAUAAAUAAAUAGAAUGAUGGACACAAUUGAGCAAAAUUGCACCCUUUCAAGCAUUACUUUUUCUCGGGAAGAGCAUGUCAUUAUAUCAAACAAAGAAUUUUAGUUGUUUUCAAGAAGUUAUAUUUGAAUUGAUUCUUUACCUUAGUAAUUAAGUCAAAAAAGGGUUUCCGAAAGAAAAAAAAAGUCAAAAAAGGUGAUUAAAGUAUUCUUCUUCACUAAUAUUUAUAAUAUGGUUUAAUGAUUUUUUUUUGUUUGUUAAUGAAAAUUUUUAGGUUCAAAUCUCGUGAAUGACAAGUUCGAUAUCAAUUUAUUUAUGUAAUUAUUAGUAAAUUGUAAAUAAAAUAAAAUAAAAUACAGACACUUAUAAAUUUUAGAGCUUAGAGUGGUGUAAAAAAAAUAAAAAAAGUCUCUAUUUUAGAUAACUUACCAUAUUUAAGUACUUUACUUUACCACAUUACUUUCCAUAUGAAAUUCCUACCAUCCAUAAUUCAGAUAUUUUUAUUCUUUUUCAAUCAUAUUAAUAGAUAAAAAUGUAUUAAAAAUUCAAUUUUUAUAAUUUAAAAAAAAACUAAUUCAGUGUUUAUGAGCGUAACAAACUUAUAUUAGCAAAGUCAACAUCAAUGCAAAAACAAUUUAUGUUUAAAAAUAAAUCAUAGGUACAAAAAUAUAUAUCGGUACCUAAGCUUUGGUAUGUAAUUACGUUACGGAAAUAUUGGUACAUAAGUUUUGGUACAAAUGUUUCAAUAUGUAACUAUAGUAUCUAUACAUACAGUGGCGAAGCCACGUGAGGGCGAGGAGUGGCCGCCGCCACUCCCCUCGCCGGGAAACACCACUGGAGAGCUGGGUUCGCCACUCCCCUCGCGCCUCGUCGGAAAACCCUGGUUCAUCUUCUCCUCUGUUUUUGCUGGGCAAUCUGUUCUGCGCGCAGCAGAUUGCUGUUUUUUUUUUUUUUUAAAUCCAAGCCAAAACGACGUCGUUUUGGGCUUAAAAAUUUUAAAACAAAACAGCGCCGUUUCAGCCAUUACCAAUAUGUUUCAUUUCUCCAUUGGUUUCACAGCCACCCAAUUGGGUGUCUCUUGUUUCUGAUUCCCCGCGGGCUUGUACCUGUGCAACUCGAGAAUCUUGUGUUCGAGCCUGACGACAAGGAUUGAAACUUCGUUGCCUCGCUGGGUUGUGGUGGUGGAUCUGCUCGUAGAAAUCGUACAGCUCCCAGAGGUGGUCCAGCGGCAACGGCGGCGGCAACUGCAGUGACAUCCUCACUAACGAUUAUGCCGUCGUUUUUGGUACUAUCUUUAAUUCCAUUGUUGACUCAAUUCAAUUUUUUAUAACCCCGAAACAAUAAAAAGUGAAAAUUUGGGUUGGGUUUUUGUGGAUUGGAAAUUAAUUGCAUUGCAUAGAAUUAUAGCGUAAUGUUGUUAUUUAUUAUUAAUUAUUGAUAUGAACCAUUUGAUGAAUGAAAUUGUUGAUAUUGAUAUGAAUGAAUAUUGAUGAAUGAAGAUUAGUGAUGAAUUUGUUGAUUAUUGAUAAUUUGAAUUAUUGAAUAAUUUAUAUAAUUACUGAUAUUGAGUAAUUGAAUUGUUAGUUUAAUUAGUUAUUAGUCAUAUAAUAAAGUUACUCUAGCAUUAAUACAUUACGAGACUGUAACUUUUUAGUUAUUAGUCAUAACAUAAAAUAUCGCCAACAAUAAUUGUAACUUUCUAUGUAAAGAAUUUGAUUGUCUACAUUGUUUUAGAACCCUUUACGCUUUUAAGUUUCGCCCCUCCGCUCGACAAUUUCUGGCUUCGCCACUGUAUACAUAUAUAGAUACGUAAUAUGCAUAUACAUAUAUAUAGAGAAAUUCACGCAUGAAUAGUUGAUGAUAUAUGACUUUUCUUAUUAUGGGAUGGACAAAUUUUUAAUUGUUUGCAAGGAUCAAUAAAUAACCUAUACACAAAACAAACUCAAUAAUUAUUAUUACAAUCUAAUUAAUAUAAAAAAAUUACAAUUAAAUGUCAAGGACUAGCGUUUAGCUUUUUAAUCUUGCACAAGGUUUUAUUCUAAAAUGGAUAUUUUUCAACGAUUAUAAUGAAAUUUUCUGAAAAAUAUCUAGCUUCACUUGUAGGUAGAAAAUGUGACAGCUUGUCCCGGACGUAUAUAUUAUUUAUCCUCGAGAGCGUGGGAAAACUAUUAUACCCUUGUUAUUAUUGAGUUGUGUGUGUGUAUUAACUAAGGUUUUGGACCAAUAGGUUCUAUCCUUUAUUAUUUGGACCUAAUUAGAACUAAAGACUUAAGAUUUUGGUUGGUUGACUGCAAACUAGACCACACACACAUACCUUCCCCUUAUCCCGUUGACUCUCUCUCCUUCCUCUCGCAUUUUCUUCCAUGUCUGUACAAUUGUACAAACAAACCUUGAACCCUCCAUUUCACGCAGGGAUCGAGCUCGUGGUUAGCAUCAUCGUCUUCAUCUCAUCGUCACACACUCAUCUAUACCAUUUUUAGAACGUGAAUACCUCAUUUUCCCGAGAACCCAGUUUUGGGUCACUGUUCAUGCACUUGUGUUAUCGAAGUUUUUAAGAGAUUUAAAGCUACUAGUGAGCUUUAGGACAUCUUCACGAAGCUCGAAGAAGAAAAACGAAGUGAAUUGGACGUCGGGAAGUCGAGUUUGGUGAGUUUCAAGUUUGGUCGGAUUAUCGAGGUUCCCCUGCUGAAAUCUCGUGGAUUUCAAGGCUUGAAAGUGGUAAGGUUUGUUCCUCUAGUCCUAAGCUUCAUUUUGGUACAAAUUUCAUGAAAUUUGGUUGAGAAAUGAGCGGGAAAUGACGAUUUGAAGUUUUUCAAUUUUCCGGGGACGGAGUCGGUCAUUGGAGUUUGAAGGUUGAAGACGACGAAAUAUUCCGUCAAGUUUGACGGAAUAUUCUGACGGCAUCAGGUUAGUUUUAAUGAAAUAUGCUGUUUUUUGAAGGAAUAUUCCCUAUCGCCAUUAAAGAUUCUGUUAGGCACGUGGCCGCGUGUGGGGGAGCGUCUGGCCGUGCCCUUGCAGGCGCGUGGGGCAUCGCAAAUUUUUUCUAAAAAUAUGGGGGUGUUCCUGAGGUUGAGUAGGUUAUGGUGGUAUAUUCAAAUGCCCUAUUUGAGCAUUGUAUGAAAAGUUCAUUCCUAGUUUUGUGUAUAUGCUUUAAAUAACGUUUAUUCAGUUAUUUCGCAUAUAGGUGAGACCUAUCCUGAGGACGAGCACCAUCAAUCGAGGCUCGGGGGCUACGACCCUUCGACAUAUCAGUGAGUGGGCUUUUGGUUUUCCGUAUAUACCUAUAUACUUGAGAUUUUUCCUAGAAAAUGAAUUUGAAUGAUUAUACGUUUUGAAAUGCCAUGCAAAGUAUCUACCUAUUUUAUUUGUGCAUUAGUAAGUUGCAUAUAAUUAUGAUUGGUGAUGCGGACGCACAGGUAAGUGCCAGGUAAGUUCAUAAAUUAAAGAUGUGAGAUUACUUCAGUUAUGCGAGUUAUGAUGUGAUGUGAUGAGAGCUCAUAAACUUGCACCCGGUGUUAGUGCUCCCGCCCAGAGUUAGGGCACAAUCCUUCAUGUAAUGUUCACCUCCCACACCGUAUGCUCACCUUGGAUCCAAGUUAGGUGCACAGUCUUGUCGUACAGACCACUUUAGGUGGUUUCGACUCGUAGGUGACCCGCGAUUAUUCGCACAGCCUUUACGUGAUCGUAGCACUAUAGCAUAUUUAAUUUACACCUAGUCUUGUCAUACAGACCACUGUAGGUGGUUCCGACUCGUGUGCAGGAUUUGAUUUGAUAUGAUUGAGAUUGGUUAUGAGCUAUAUACUCAGCAGUGCAGUUUGAGUUAGAGAGAUUUGGCUGAUGCGAUAUUUGACAUUUAUAUAUUUUGCCUGGUUUAUCUAUAGCAUUGCAUUGAGAUACUUUGGCAUGGUAUACUGAUAUGAGCAUAUUUAUGCGCCUUAGUUAGCUAGUUCUUAUGCAUUUUCGUUAUGUUUUCUUAGUUAAAGUAGUCUUUUAAGCUAUUUUCAUGUGUUUUCAAGUUUUAAGGGCGUAUUAUACAAAUAGAUGCAAAUUGGAGCUUUUGGAGCACAAUUGAGCUUGGAUUGGACAUCACAUACUUGGAGCCAAAAGAAUGGACGAAAUUGAAGAUUUGAAGAUGAUGAUUCCUACUUGAACAAGGUUUCCUAGUUGAAGUAGGAAAGUGCCUAAUUAAAGAUGGAAUCCUAGUUGACAAAGGAUUCCUAGUUGACAAAGGAUUCCUAGUUGAAGUGGGAUUCCUAGAAGAUUGAAGAUUUCUACUCAAACAAGGUUUCCAUUCUUUGAGUCUAGUUUAGUGUUUUAAACUUUGUUUUAGUCUUUUAGAGUUUAGAGUUUAGAGUUUAGAGUUUAGAGUUUAGAGUUUAGAGUUUAGAGUUUUAAACUUUCUAAUUGAAGUGGUUUGUUUUAGUCUUUUAGAGUUUAGUUUUGCAUUCUUUGAGUCUAGUUUAGUGUUUUAAACUUUGUUUUUACGUUUUGAAUCAGAUUUCAAGUGAUUGAGCAAUCCCUCCUAAUCCCCGGCCUAGAACGAUCCCUACUUACAUACUUUGCUACAAUUGAUAAAAGAGGGUUUAAUUUGUGUGCUUAUAUAUUUCGCAUCAUAUACUUCUAUGGAUUUUCAUCUUGAGUAUGAUUUCUGAUUCAGAUUAUUAUUAUUAUUUUCUGGGAAGUUAUACAUGUUUUACGGCGAGGGGUUAGAACUUUUGAGAAAUGAAAUGAUUUUGAAAAGCUUUGUUUUUGCCCACUCACACUUUCUGUUUUACGCCCUUCCAGGUUUUAGGUAGAAGUGCUUGGUGGAUCACGAGGAUUGGGAUGGGGGUUCUGACAAAAUAUCAUUAAUGUAGGAUCACCUUUGGGUGUUGAAUAAUUAGUACUUGUCCUACUUGACUGCACUUAGGAUAUUUAUGCUAUGGUUGUGUAUUUCACGUUUAAUCUCACACUAACACUUUAUCUUAACUAGUUCUGCUAGUAGUUUGGUUUUUAUUCCUUUGCAAUUCCCUUAUAUCUUUAUUGCUUCCGCACUGUGCACAUGGUUACGUCACUCCCACAUGACGGCCAGCAUGCCCUGAUUUAGGUCAGGGUGUGUCAGUUUGGUAUCAGAGCAUUAGGUUUGCAGUCCUGCAUGUCUUGAGAAUUUCUAAUUAUUUUGAUGUCUUCUGUCAGAACUAUGCCGCCUCGUAGAGAUCCACGUCCUUCUGUUGAGCCUAGUUUCCCCAAUAUAGCUCAGUGAGGGGAAGCUAUAGCAAAUGCUAUUCAGUCUUCGCUUCGUCCUCCCCAAAGAACACCCCUUGAAAAUGUGUAUAACCUGAAGCUGAAUCAUUUUAUAUGGAAUGAAGGACAUGAAGGAGCGGAGAAAUGGAUUAAUCAUAUUGAGAAGACUUUUCGUGUAAUGCAGAGUCAGGGGAAUCUUCCUCCUGAUAGGUAGGUCGAGACGACUACCUGGUUUUUAGGUCAGGAGCCUGCAUCCUGGUGGAGACAGGAGUCUUAUCAAUUGACCCCAAAGGAAAUUGCGGACUGAGAGGUAUUUAAACAGUUGUUUCAGAAAAGGUUUAUUCCCCCUGAGUAUAUUGAUCACAAAAAGCAAGAGUUUACUCAAUUAAAGUAGGGGAAGAUGACGGCAAAUGAGUAUUAUAGGAGAUUCACUGACUUGUCUCGUUAUCAUCCGAAGGUUGCUGCUAAUCCAGUUGCGAUACUCCGUCAUUUCAGGUUGGGUACAAAAAAGAAAUGGCGUUAUAUAGCGACCUUAACUCCCUGUGCUGCUUACUAGGAGUUUUAUGAGAUUUUGUUGAAGAUUGAGGACUCAGAACACAUGCCCAAUGAAAGUGAAGAUGAAGAAGAAAAGAACGGGAAUCAGAGGCGAGAUGAUAAAGGUAAAGGUCAGUCUUCUCAAGGACCUUAUAAGACUCAGAGUUUUAAGAGGAGUGGAACUAGUUCUAGCUCUUCUAGCAGAGGUUUUAGUGCCACUGGUCAGAGUGUUAUCCAUUCAAUUCAAUGAAUCUAAGGAAAUCUGAUAAUCAAUUGGUGCAAUCUAAUUAAUUUGGGGCAUUGUCAUUCAUGGUUUAUCGAAAGAAUAACUGGAAAUCGAUUCGUAUGCCUAUGUUUUAUGUGUGGAGAAGGAACCCUCUAACUAGCCUUUCACCCAUUCUAUUUCAUUCAAUUUCGAGUUUUUAAAGUUUGUUUUACAAGUUUCUGUUUUUAAGUUUUAAUUUCGUCAAAACAAAUUCCCUUUUUCUUAAGUCUUGUUUUUAGAGUCAAAACCUGUUUUCUUUUAGUAUUUUGAGUCAAGUUAAGUUUUAUUUUCGUCCAAAUCACUUGUUAGGUCUAGAAUUGAGUCCUCUUGAUUGUUUGUUGCUGUUUUGAGUAUUUUAAGUCAGUUUUGAGUCUAUAGAGUCUAGAAUUCGAGGCAUUGUCAUUCAUGGUUUAUCGAAAGAAUAACUAGAAAUCGAUUCGUAUGCAUAUGUUUUAUGUGUGAAGAAGGAACCCUUUAACUAGCCUUUCACCCAUUCUAUUUCAUUCAAUUUCGAGUUUUUAAAGUUUGUUUUACAAGUUUCUGUUUUUAAGUUUUAAUUUCGUCAAAACAAAAUCCCUUUUUCUUAAGUCUUGUUUUUAGAGUCAAAGCUUGUUUUCUUUUAGUAUUUUGAGUCAAGUUAAGUUUUAUUUUCGUCCAAAUCACUUGUUAGGUCUAGAAUUGAGUCCUUUUGAUUGUUUGUUGCUGUUUUGAGUAUUUUAAGUCAGUUGUGAGUCUAUAGAGUCUAGUUUAGUGUUUUUUAGUCUUAUUUGCAUUGAUUAGCAGCCCUAAUUAAUCCCCGGUCUAAAACGAUCCCUACUUACAUCUUUACUACAAUUGUCAAUAAUAGGGUUUAAUUUGUGUGUCGAGUUAAUUUUCUCAUCAGAUUGCAACAUCCCACAUCGCCCAAUGGAGUGGAUCUUGUAAGCCUUAUAUGUAUAUUCCUAUCUCUACCUAGCACGAGGCCUUUUGGGAGCUCAUUGGCUUUGGGUUCCAUUGGAACUCCGAAGUUAAGA